rnacentral:rRNA from 1 species
GACGAACGCUGGCGGCGUGCCUAAUACAUGCAAGUCGAGCGAAGUUUUUCUGGUGCUUGCACCGGAAAAACUUAGCGGCGAACGGGUGAGUAACACGUAAAGAACCUGCCUCAUAGACUGGGACAACUAUUGGAAACGAUAGCUAAUACCGGAUAAUAGCAUUAACUGCAUGGUUGAUGUUUAAAAGUUGGUUUUGCUAACACUAUGAGAUGGCUUUGCGGCGCAUUAGCUAGUUGGUGGGGUAAAGGCCUACCAAGGCGACGAUGCAUAGCCGACCUGAGAGGGUGAUCGGCCACACUGGGACUGAGACACGGCCCAGACUCCUACGGGAGGCAGCAGUAGGGAAUCUUCCGCAAUGGGCGAAAGCCUGACGGAGCAACGCCGCGUGAGUGAAGAAGGAUUUCGGUUCGUAAAGCUCUGUUGUUAGGGAAGAAUGAUUGUGUAGUAACUAUACACAGUAGAGACGGUACCUAACCAGAAAGCCACGGCUAACUACGUG